rnacentral:rRNA from 1 species
CACGAACGCUGGCGGCAGGCUUAACACAUGAAAGUCGAGCGCCCCGCAAGGGGAGCGGCAGAGGGGUGAGUAACGCGUGGGAAUCUACCCAUGUCUACGGAAUAACGCAUGGAAACGUGUGCUAACGCCGUAUAGGUCCGUCGGGACAAAGAUUUAUCGGAGUGGGAUGAGCCCGAGUUGGAUUAGCUAGUUGGUGGGGUAAAGGCUUACCAAGGCGACGAUCCAUAGCUGGUCCGAGAGGAUGAUCAGCCACACUGGGACUGAGACACGGCCCAGACUCCUACGGGAGGCAGCAGUGGGGAAUAUUGGACAAUGGGCGCAAGCCUGAUCCAGCCAUGCCGCGUGAGUGAUGAAGGCCCUAGGGUUGUAAAGCUCUUUCACCGGUGAAGAUAAUGACGGUAACCGGAGAAGAAGCCCCGGCUAACUUCGUGCCAGCCGCCGCGGUAACAC